CCUACGGGAGGCAGCAGUGGGGAAUCUUGCGCAAUGGGCGAAAGCCUGACGCAGCAACGCCGCGUGCGGGAAGAAGGCCUUCGGGUUGUAAACCGCUUUCAGCAGGAACGAAAAUGACGGUACCUGCAGAAGAAGGAGCGGCCAACUACGUGCCAGCAGCCGCGGUGACACGUAGGCUCCAAGCGUUGUCCGGAUUUAUUGGGCGUAAAGAGCUCGUAGGCGGUUCAGUAAGUCGGGUGUGAAAACUCUGGGCUCAACCCAGAGCCUGCAUUCGAAACUGCUGUGACUAGAGUUUGGUAGGGGAGCGGGGAAUUCCUAGUGUAGCGGUGAAAUGCGCAGAUAUUAGGAGGAACACCGGUGGCGAAAGCGCCGCUCUGGGCCAAUACUGACGCUGAGGAGCGAAAGCGUGGGUAGCAAACAGGAUUAGAUACCCUGGUAGUCCACGCCGUAAACGAUGGGCACUAGGUGUGGGUUUCAACUAACGAAAUCCGUGCCGUCGCUAACGCAUUAAGUGCCCCGCCUGGGGGAGGUACGGUCGCGAGACGUAAACUACAAAGAAGUAGUAGUAACGUGUGAGAGUCGACGACGACGACGACGGAGGAGGAGG
rnacentral:rRNA from 1 species